CAACUCUGGUUACUCUUCAAUCACGCACAAGUUUUUCGCCUUUUACUAAAGACUUCCGUGGAGAGCAACGCUUACGAGUUCAACGUAUUUUUGGACAGGCUUUGGUCCCGGCAGAGCC
ensembl:snRNA U5 U5 spliceosomal RNA